rnacentral:rRNA from 2 species
GCAUAUCAAUAAGCGGAGGAAAAGAAACUAACAAGGAUUCCCCUAGUAACGGCGAGUGAAGCGGGAUGAGCUCAAAUUUAAAAUCUGGCUGGUUUACUAGUCCGAAUUGUAGUUUAUAGAAGCGUUUUCGGUGGCAGCCUGGGUAUAAAUCCUUUGGAAUAGGGUAUCAUAGAGGGUGAGAAUCCCGUCUUUGACUCAGUGCAUGCUACUAUGUGAUACGUUUUCAAAGAGUCGAGUUGUUUGGGAAUGCAGCUCAAAAUGGGUGGUAAAUUUCAUCUAAAGCUAAAUAUUGGCGAGAGACCGAUAGCGAACAAGUACCGUGAGGGAAAGAUGAAAAGAACUUUGAAAAGAGAGUUAAACAGUGCGUGAAAUUGUUGNUNCNUGAAACGUUUGACACCAGUUAUGCGGGUGGAAAAUCAGUCUUUUGCAAUGGGGAGUUGUGGGCGUUCAGACCGCAAGGCUGGCGUUUGCUUCAUCUUUGUUGUAAGUGAUGCACUUUUUCAUUUGCAGGUCAACAUCAGUUUGCUUUGCUGGACAAAACCCCAAGGGAAGGUGGCAGCUUAGGCUGUGUUAUAGCCCUGGGGCGAUACAGUGGAGUGGACUGAGGUUUCGCAGUGUGUGCUCUCGGGCAAGGCUGACUGGGUGCUAUGGGAUCGUUCGGCGUACAAUGCAUGCAUUUUGCGUCGUGUCUUUUUCAUACUCGCUCAACUCGGCUCUCCACACUAGGA